rnacentral:lncRNA from 1 species
GGUUUUUCCAGACAGGGUUUCUCUGUGUAACCUUGGCUGUCCUGGAACUCACACUGUAGACCAGCUGGCCUUGAACUCAGAAAUCCACCUGCCUCUGCCUCUGCCUCCCAAGUGCUGGGAUUAAAGGUGUGCACCACCACACCUGGCUGAGUAUUGGUUUCUAUGAGAAUUAUUGGAAUAUUGCUUUGGCUAAUUUUAGUUAACACAAACCUAGUCAUCUGGGGAGAGGGGACCUCAGUUGAGAAAUUGUCUCCACCAGAGUAGCCUGUGGGCAGUGCUAGUCUUAGGCAGCUGUGGAGGAAAGGUAGCUGAAUGUGAUGUGAGCCGGGGAGGGGGCACCAUUCUUCUGUGGUUUUUGCUUCAAGCUCCUGUCUUGGUUUCCCUUAAUGAUGGACUGAAAGUGGAAGAUGAACUCUUUCCCAAUUGCUUUUACUCAUGGUGUUUAUGACUACAACAGAAAGCUUAACCAGGAAAACUGUGUUGUAUAGUCUAUUUGAAAGCAAAUGGCUUAAACAUUUUAUUAUUAAACUACGUACUGAUUUGAAAAUUAAAGCAGUAAAAAACUAAGUCCUGUCUCCAGAUAUUUACAUUUUCAGGUUUUUGUGGUUACCUCUGAUAAUGGUUAAUAUUGAUUACCAGUUUGAUCUAGGAUAGUUUAGGAGACAGGCCUCUGGGCAUGCCUGUUGAGGGAUUUUCUAGAUUAUGUUAAUUUAGGUAGAAAGACUCAUCUUAAAUGUAGGUGACACUAUUCUUUGAGGUGGGGUCUGGUACUGAGUCAAAAGUAGGAGACCUGAGCAACAGAAUUCCUCCCUUCCUUCCUUCUUUCUACCUUUCACUGCAGUCUGACUAGCCCCUCAAGCUUUUGCCACCAUGAUUUCCACAUCAUGGUGACCUAUACUUCUGAACUGUGAGCAACAGUAAACCUUCCUAAGCUUUGCUUUUUGUCACAUAUUUUGUCAUAGCACUGAGAAAAGUAACUACUGGUGUAUCAUUUACAAUAUUAUAUGGAUGUGCCUGUGUGGCUAUGUGCACAUGAUUGCAGAGGGCAGGAAUGCCCAAUAUCUCUGGUGGUGGUGAGCCACCUGUUGUAGGUUCUGGAAAUUGAACUCGGUCCUCUGGGAAAAUAGUACACUUUUAAAUGUCCCUAAGAUUCAGGUCUAAUUGGGAUCUAUUCCAAAUGCUUCGGUGCUCCAUAGGAUAUACUGCUUCUGCCUUCUAGUAACUAGUACCAACCACAGCUUUUUUUAGUAUAAUUUUUGUUGGCUUGUCACUCCUCUCAGAAAUAAGACAUAUGUUACCUGUUCAUAUUUUGACACAUAGUAGGGAGUGAAUUAAGUGUGGACUAUAUGUUAUGUUUUCUUUUCCACUUUUGUUUAUUUACUUUCAUUAGUUGAGAUCUGGAAAGGCUACAGUAUCUUAUAGAUUUUGUGUCCAGUGGCCUUUGCAGGAAGCCCUCUGUGUCCGUGGGCCAGGAACCAGAGUUACCUUUCCCAGAUCAGUCUGGUUUAGGUUGGUUUGGUUCAGUUUGCCUCCAGGAGUCACUGUUAUUUUUGUUUUAAACACAUAAGCACAUUUCUUACCUAAGGAGAACUCAGCUUCAACUUUCAACUCUUUGAGAAGAGCUCUGUGCUCUCCUUGGUGCCGGAGACCUCACUUAGAGCCAGCAAAAAUGGCCUUGCACCACAGCCUUCCAGAUAUAUUUGCCUUUUAGAAGUUUUGUUCCCAGCAGGCCUUUUCAGGCGCCAAGGUGACUGGGUUUUUUGUUUGUUUGUUUGGUUGGUUUGGUUUUUUUUUUCGAGACAGGGUUUCUCUGUGUAGCCCCAGCUGUCCUGGAACUCACUCUGUAGACCAGGCUGGCCUUGAACUCAGAAGUCUGCCUGCCUCUGCCUCCCAAAGUGGCUGUUUUUAUCAUUUAAAAUUAAACCUCAAAAUACCAGUGUUUUGUGAUUACACAUUUGUUCACUCAACGGGGUGUGUAUGCACAUGUGUCUGUGUGUAGUGUAUUUAUACAUUAAGUAGUAGCUGUGAAAUUGCAUUUUAGGUAGUAUAUGUUAAUGUAUGCAGUCCCUGUCUAUCAGCAGUUUUAUAGUGUAGCGAUGGCUCAGUAGGGAAAGGUGCCAAAUCUGACAGCCUGAAUCCAGCCCCUGUGACCUACACAGUAAAAGAGAAGGCAGUUUUUCACAAGUUGUCCGUUUGACCUCUACACACAUAGUAGCAUUUGUGUGCGCAUACAGACAUGUAAUUUAGGAAAAAAAGUUAAAUGUUUUAAAAAGCUUUGAAGUUUAUUUAGCCAGAGGAGACAGACUAAAAUCAGCUAGUGCUCAGCCAUAGCUUACAUUAAUCCCUCAUGUAUUUGUUAUCUGCCAAAGGCAGAAACUGCAAUAUUAAACUGAGUGUUCUAAGAGAUGGUAUAGGAAACCUUGCACCAAGACCAGAAUCAAGAAAUGCUUUGGAAAAAAAGAUUCAAUCCUCAUAGUAAGAGAGGCUUUGAUAAAGCG